rnacentral:rRNA from 1 species
UACGUAGGGGGCAAGCGUUGUCCGGAAUCAUUGGGCGUAAAGCGCGCGUAGGCGGCCCGGUAAGUCCGUUGUGAAAGUCAAAGGCUCAACCUUUGAACGCCGAUGGAUACUGCCGGGCUAGAGUCCGGAGGAGGCGAGUGGAAUUCCUGGUGUAGCGGUGGAAUGCGCAGAUAUCAGGAGGAACACCAAUAGCGAAGGCAGCUCGCUGGGACGGUACUGACGCUGAGGCGCGAAAGCGUGGGGAGCGAACAGG